rnacentral:lncRNA from 1 species
CAGGAGUGAUUUCUCCAAACAGAUUUAAAGAAAUAACCCUAAAUCUUAGGAUCAGGAAUUGAGUAUGAAGGGUGGGAGAAGCUUGGUCUUUAUGGUCUUUAUUUGCUUUCCUUUCUUCCUAUUUAAAAAUGCUGUCAUGUCCUGUUACUGUUGUAAUUAGGCGGUUGCGAGGAUACGAGGUGUAACGAGAAAGGCCCCCUCCCCAAAGGAAUAGGGACAAGUUGACCAAAGAAUGUACCCGUGACGCAGGGAAAAUGGCAAACUAAGAUGAUCCGAUAAGCUACCUUUUGAUAUGUCAGUAGAUGGAAAAUACUGCUUCAUGCUUCACUGCUACAUGCCUCAGCAAAAAUAUCCAAUCAGCAUUAAGGGAGUAAGCUUUAGAUGGCAAUAGUGGAUAACAAGUAUUAUAAAAGUAAUGCUAUACCUUUGAAUAAAAAAAAAAAGCUUUUCUUGCUGCUAUUGUGUGUGUGUCUGUGUGUGUGUGAGUGUGUUUUCAAGUGGUGCCGAAACCCGGGAACGUGUAUGAGUGUGUUUUCAAGUGGUGCCGAAACCCGGGAACGUAUGAAUGAAUGUGUUUUCAAGUGGUGCCGAAACCCGGGAACGUGUAUGAGUGUGUUUUCAUGUUACACAGAUCAUCUAUUUGAUAUUAAUUCACUUAUCAAGAACAUAGUCAAAUGAGUAUUACUAGCAGAAGAGGAGAUCUGAGAAUAUUUAAAGCAUAAUGCUGUGUUACAGAGACUAUUUUCAUGAUCUAUUAUGCAAAAUAGUGUAAAAUUUUCAGUAAAUGUGUAUUCAGAAAGCAAACUGUUUCCAGGCCACAGUAAAAAACAAAAGCAACAACAACAACAAAAUUCCACAGUAAAAAAAAAAAAAAAAAAGAAGAAGAACAAGGCAUUUCUAUGGAUCUGUUAUAGAAUUUGAGAAGCCUGUCCACUGAGCUGAAUCUCAAUCAGAUUGCCUAAAUGUGUGCUUUGGAUUGUUUGAGAUACUCUGUACCACUCAAGACAUUUGCAUGGCUAUGACAGGUAUAACAAAGAAUCAUGAGACACCAUGAGUUCCUCUGGAGCAGCAGCUGAUGGCCAAGGUAAAUUUUUCACUCACUCAAAACAGCAGUGUACACCCUCCUUUAGGCACCUGAAUGCUACCUUUUAUAACCUCACUUUUCCAUAUUUAUGUAUUUCUGCAAUCUUUUGUCUUAAAAAAGCAAAUAUAAAGAACAAGAAACUACCCUGCCAAUAGGAUUUUCUUAACUUUGAGUUGCGUUUUUCC